rnacentral:rRNA from 1 species
GAUGAACGCUGGCGGCGUGCCUAAUACAUGCAAGUCGAGCGAACAGACGAGGAGCUUGCUCCUCUGACGUUAGCGGCGGACGGGUGAGUAACACGUGGAUAACCUACCUAUAAGACUGGGAUAACUUCGGGAAACCGGAGCUAAUACCGGAUAAUAUAUUGAACCGCAUGGUUCAAUAGUGAAAGACGGUUUUGCUGUCACUUAUAGAUGGAUCCGCGCCGCAUUAGCUAGUUGGUAAGGUAACGGCUUACCAAGGCGACGAUGCGUAGCCGCCCUGGGAGGGUGAUCGGCCACACUGGAACUGAGCCACGGUCCAGACUCCUACGGGAGGCAGCAGUAGGGAAUCUUCCGCAAUGGGCGAAAGCCUGACGGAGCAACGCCGCGUGAGUGAUGAAGGUCUUCGGAUCGUAAAACUCUGUUAUUAGGGAAGAACAAAUGUGUAAGUAACUAUGCACGUCUUGACGGUACCUAAUCAGAAAGCCACGGCUAACUACGUG